AGAAAACUAAAAUGUAAAGUAUCAGACAGAAAAAAAGUCAGAAGGCAGGUGGGUGGGAAGGAUGGAAGGAAGGAAGGAGAAAGAAGGAAGGAGAAAGGAAGGAAGGAGAAGGGAAGGAAGGAGUAAUGACAAGUCCCUGGCUUCUUCUAGCUGAAUGAAAAACAUCCUCCAGAGAACUCCUACUAUCCACAGGUCAAUGUUCACACAGGUCACUUAAUCAGGAAUUUCUAGAAUGAACUGGCAAGCCCUGUUUUACCCUGCCUCCAUUCAGCUGACCUCAUCUAGACUCCUGGUCGUGAUUUAUAUAGCUUUCUUCCACUGUUUUCCACUCUUCCAAAUGGUUUUUUUUUCCCUCUUAAGCUGCCAACAUCC